CACAGUAGCUGUACAUUUAUGGCAUAAGAUUAUCAGCACAAUUUUUAAUUGUUAAGUUAUGAACAAGCUAAACGUAAUGCAAGAUUAACCCGCGUUUGUUAGUAGCAGUAGUAUUUGCAUAUUCGUAGAGUAUUAACCAGCUUAGUUAAAUGAUUAUACUGUCAGAAUAGAUAUAUGUAAGACAGUUGAGAAUAAGUAAUGCUUGACAGUUAUAGGUUAACUACGUUAGUACCAGUGGGAUGUGGUAACAUGCUUUCAUGUUUCAGGGUUAGAAUACGUUGAGGCUCUGACACAUAAAGAUUUAUAACGCAUGAGAACAUUUAUGUUAAAGUAGACCGCUGAUCACUAGCUAUGCAUAUUGGGUAAAUCUGUAAACAGGUAGAUCUAAGCUAAUGAAUAUCAUGAGUUAUAGUUACAAAUAACACCAAGAUAGUCAUGUUUAUAUAUCGUAUGGUCCUGUUAGGGAGUAGUGUUCAGAGUAGUGAGAGAGAUGGGAAAACAUGACUGGUAUAAUGUUUGCUUUAGCACGACUGUAUGAUAGGUACAUGUUAAGUAAGUCAGUGCCCUCGUUGGUGUUGUUUAAAGAUCCCCUGUUACCCGGGGGAGGGGGGGAAGAUUUUGAGUGGCUUUACCUAAGUGGCUAUUACGUGCCCUUGGUUGCCAGCACUAGUGUGA